AAGUCGUAACAAGGUUUCCGUAGGUGAACCUGCGGAAGGAUCAUUAACACGUUUUAAACGUAUCAACCAACCGCGAACUCUGACGUUAGUGGUCUCUCUCCGCAAGGGAGUUGACUGCGCCUGAGCAUUGUUAGGGGAAAGUGUUGUUUAGGAGUACCCUUCGGGGUUUCCUCUACACAUGACUUCCUUUAACCUUGUUCAACAUUAACCCAAACCACUUUUGUUGUUAUUAUCUGUCUUAAAGGACGUGGCGUCUAACGCUAUUGUCUUUUAUUACAAACUUGUACAACUCUUAGCAACGGAUGUCUUGGUUUCC
rnacentral:misc_RNA from 1 species